GCUUCCGUAGCCCAACGGCAGAGGCACGGCGUUCAGGACGCCGCCAGUGCGGGUUCGAAUCCCGCCGGGGGCA
rnacentral:tRNA from 1 species